GCGGCGACCGCAGGGAGGGGGCUGCCUGCGGGAGGGGAACCGGGGCGCAGCCUCUCCCCCCGGCACGGGGGUCCGGGCAGUGGCUGUGGCCGAGCCACUGACCAGCUCCCCCCUUCCCUUCCCUUCCCUUCCCUUCCCUUCCCUUCCCUUCCCACACGGCGCCGCGCUCUCAGAAACACGGGGUUGCUUUCUACUAAGACCUAUUUCUGCCUUCCUUCUGAGCCCCAGAGAGGAUACUUGCACUUUUUUGAGACUAAGUGGUCAAAGGAGGGAUCCUCUCUCAAAAUGAACAGGUUGCCCAGAGAAGCUGUGGCUGCCCCAUCCCUGGAGGGGUUCAAGGCCAGGUUGGAGGGGGCUUGGAGCAACCUGGUCUGGUGGGAGGUGUCCCUGCCCAGGGCAGGGGGGUUGGAACUCAAUGAUCUCCAAGGUCCCUUCUAACUCUAACCGUGCUAUGAUUCUAAAAUUGCUGCUGUGGGGCUCCUGGUUGGUGUCUGUAGGUCCUCGGUCAAAUGUCGUCCAAGCCCAAAGGUGUCACUUUUCUCAGUUGCUCCUGCUGGAAGCUCACCUGGGUCCCUGCAGUCUCAUUGCACGUUGUCAUUCCUGUGGGGUUAUUUCCUUCCCCACCCCUGCCCGAGCUCACGCAGCCCCGAUGUCUGCAGGUGUCAGCAACCUGCACCUCGCUCUGCUCAGAACAACACGGAAUUGAUUCUGCUCUCAGAGAAGUCAUCUCUCUCCCCUCUUUCCCUCAGAAAACCUGGCAGGAGCUAGGAGUCUGCUGACGGCUGAAAAUGGAGGAGCAGAGUUCAUCUUAAAUUAGAAGCAACUGCUGCUACCAGCAGCCUCUGAGAGACCGUAGACUUUCAGCUUCCCUUGUUUUAUCCAGAGCAGAGUCUUUGCUGACCACAGUGCCUGGGAAUGAACGACUGGAGGGAGAUGCUGGAGGAGCAGCCACUCCUCCCUUUCUGAUGAGGUCCAACAGACGAGAUGCUGCUGGCAACGGAGUGGUCGGUCAAGGCUAUCUAAUAAUUUCAGUAACGCUUUUUGCAGUGUCCCACGAGCCUGGAGAUCAUGGUGUUUCUGUAGGUAUUUAUCUAAGCCUUCCCAGGCUUGUUUCCCAGAGCAGCAGGUUCUUCUUCCUGUCUCUUUCCCUUUGCAGGGCUGUUCUCUCUCUCCUUGUUGGGCAAAACACUGGUGACGGAGCAGAGCCAGAGGCUUUCCCGGGGACACUUUGUGCCAUCGUGCCUUGUGGAACGACUUGUUUGAUCCUCUCCAGUUCUCCAUCGCAGUGGGAGCAGAAGCAGCCCAUGGAGAAACAUUUCUCUUUCGCUUUGCCUCGACUCAUCCAAGACCGUGGUCCUGCUGGUGUGUGAACCGGGAGAGACCUUUCUCUUGGUGCUUCCAUUCCGUAAUAAAUCAUGUUUCCUGCAGGAAAACCAGGGGCACGCCAAGGCGCAGCGAUGGGGGUGCUCUUUUCUGUUGCGGUUUCUCCUUUUCCCCUGGGUCCCGUGUUGGAGAAGCAGUCCUGGCGCGACCAGGGAGCUGCCCUCCCCUUGCAGCUUUUCUCUUGGUUUGUGUUCGAGGGGAAAAAGAUGGUUUGGAGGGAAGAGGAGGUGGGAGGAAUGGAGGAAGGUCACCGGGUAAAGCAUAUGGGGAUUCCUGGUCCUCUCCUACAGCUGCAGGAAUUGCAGCUGCGUGUGUGGACAUUGCUCCAAGAGGCUGAAUCUCCUUCAAUUUAACCCACCUGUGCCACUGAGCUGGGUUGGAGCUUCAUGAAGAGCUGAUCAGAGCAGCAGCUCGAUCCCUAUCCAUUUUACUGUGCUGAUAUUAAAAAAUA